GAACACAGUGGGGAGAGGGCACUAAGCUCCCCAGCCUUCCAGAGGAGAAGGUCCUGCAAGACUCUGACUGUUCUGGAUUUGUGUGGCCAGGUUUAGGGGGUGGGGUGGCUUUUGUGAGAAUCUUCCAGAAGGUGCCCCUGUGUCCAGCAGAGCCAGUGCCAGCCAGCUCCAGGAUGGACAUUCCACUGUCUGAGGAUGAGCCCGUCAGAAACAGUGGUAGAGCCCCAAGGGGACCCAGCUUUCAGUCAGAAAUCAGCGAGGGGUUCCCAUGUUGCUAUAAUAAAACAAAUGUAACCAUUUU